rnacentral:lncRNA from 1 species
GGGAAGCCUUGUUAAUAUUUAUAGAAUAGAGGAAAUCUUUCCAUGGGGUGAUAUGUGUGUUUGUGUUUCAGUAGGAGAAGGGGUUAAUUGGUUAUCAGUUAUAAGAUAAGAUACUACUUUAUUCAUCCUCCAAGAGGGGAAAUGUACAGUUAACUUCUGGUCGCCCCUGUUAGCUGGCUCCUGCUUAUGAGGUGUGUAUGUGUGUAUCUGCCUAUCUGUGUGUGCGGAUGGGGUAGGAUAGUUAAUAAUCAGAGGAAGUAUUUCAAUUGGGUGAUGUGUGUGUUUUUGAUGGGGGGAGGGGCUAGUAAGUUACUAGUUGAGACCCAGCUCCUGGUAGUGAAGGUAGCAGGCUGGUACUCCUUGUAGUGAAGGUAUCAGGCUGGUACUCCUGGUAGUGAAGGUAUCAGGCUGGUACUCCUGGUAGUGAAGGUAUCAGGAUGGUACUCCUUGUAGUGAAGGUAUCAGGCUGGUACUCCUGGUAGUGAAGGUAUCAGGCUGGUACUCCUGGUAGUGAAGGUAGCAGGAUGGUACUCCUGGUAGUGAAGGUAUCAGGCUGGUACUCCUGGUAGUGAAAGUAGCAGGCUGGUACUCCUGGUAGUGAAGGUAUCAGGCUGGUACUCCUGGUAGUGAAGGUAGCAGGAUGGUACUCCUUGUAGUGAAGAUAUCAGGCUGGUACUCCUUGUAGUGAAGGUAUCAGGCUGGUACUCCUGGUAGUGAAGGUAGCAGGAUGGUACUCCUUGUAGUGAAGGUAUCAGGCUGGUACUCCUGGUAGUGAAGGUAUCAGGCUGGUACUCCUGGUAGUGAAGGUAUCAGGCUGGUACUCCUGGUAGUGAAGGUAUCAGGCUGGUACUCCUGGUAGUGAAGGUAGCAGGCUGGUACUCCUGUAAUGCUGAAAUGGCUGCUGCAUGACAUAUUUCAGAAAGCCCACAAUGACUCAACAUAUGCACACACGUGCAUGCACGCACGCACACACACACACACACAAACACACGCACACCCUCAGGGACCGGCACAAAGGGACAAGUGUGUGUUAGUUUUCUUUAUAAUCGUUUUGGUACCAUUUUCCCGAGUAUGUGGUGAAUUUGCACAAAACUCCAAACUGGUAAUACUUGUAACGCAGCCAGUCUUAAAUAAAAAAUUGUUCCUUGAUUUUGUUUGUAGACAUCUUUCACCACGCAACCAUUGAUCCAAAAUACACUGAGUGUACAAAACAUUAAAAACACGUUCCUAAUAUUGAGUUGCAGCCCCUUUAGCCCACAGAACAGCCUCAAAUCGUCAGGCAUGGACUCUACAAGGUGUUGAAAGCUUUCCACAGGGAUACUGGCACAUGUUGACUCCAAUGCUUCCCACAGUUGUGCGAAGUUGGCUGGAUGUCCAUUGGAUGGUGAACCAUUCUUGAUACACACAGGAAACUGUUGAGCGUGAAAAACCCAGCAGUAUUAGUUUCUAACUGGUGCGCCUGGCACCUACUAGCAUACCCCAUGAAAAGGCACUUCAAUCUUUUUGCCUUGCCCAUUCACCCUCUGAAUGGUACACACACACACACAAUACAUGUCUCAAGCCUUAAAAAUCCUUCUUUAACCUGUCUCCUCCCCUUCAUCUACACUGAUUGAAGUGGAUAAGUGACAUCAAUAAGGGAUCAUAGCUUUCACCUGGAUUCACCUGCUCAGUCUAUGUCAUGGAAAGAACAGGUGUUCAUAAUGUUUAGUACACUCAGGGUAUACAUUUACUGUGAGAUAUAAUGAGUACAUUGGUUUAAUCACCAAAACACAACAUAAUGAGUUUGUGAUUUUAGUAAAUCAGUGUGAACACCCCCCCCC